rnacentral:lncRNA from 1 species
GUGUGUAUUGCUUGCCAUACUUUUUACCUGAUGAUCUUGAUCCUUGUUUGUUUAACAUGUUAAUUGUUUUAUCUUCGCUUUCCAUAGUUUUAAGUUGAGCCUUUGAAAGUUCAUAAGUUCUAGCGAAAUUUAUAGCCUUUUCUAACGAGAGUUCGGACCCUUCAGUAAUACAUUUCUCCCGAACUUUGUGGUCUUUAGUUCCAAAAACAAUGGCAUCACGUACCAUUUCCU